UGAGUGCAGAAGGGGAGAGUGGAAUUCCAUGUGUAGCGGUGAAAUGCGUAGAUAUAUGGAGGAACACCGGUGGCGAAAGCGGCUCUCUGGUCUGUAACUGACGCUGAGGCUCGAAAGCGUGGGGAGCGAACAGGAUUAGAUACCCUGGUAGUCCACGCCGUAAACGGUGGAUGCUGGAUGUGGGGCCCGUUCCACGGGUUCCGUGUCGGAGCUAACGCGUUAAGCAUCCCGCCUGGGGAGUACGGCCGCAAGGCUAAAACUCAAAGAAAUUGACGGGGGCCCGCACAAGCGGCGGAGCAUGCGGAUUAAUUCGAUGCAACGCGAAGAACCUUACCUGGGCUUGACAUGUUCCCGACGGUCGUAGAGAUACGGCUUCCCUUCGGGGCGGGUUCACAGGUGGUGCAUGGUCGUCGUCAGCUCGUGUCGUGAGAUGUUGGGUUAAGUCCCGCAACGAGCGCAACCCUCGCCCCGUGUUGCCAGCGGAUUAUGCCGGGAACUCACGGGGGACCGCCGGGGUUAACUCGGAGGAAGGUGGGGAUGACGUCAGAUCAUCAUGCCCCUUACGUCCAGGGCUUCACGCAUGCUACAAUGGCCGGUACAACGGGAUGCGACGCGGCGACGCGGAGCGGAUCCCUGAAAACCGGUCUCAGUUCGGAUCGCAGUCUGCAACUCGACUGCGUGAAGGCGGAGUCGCUAGUAAUCGCGAAUCAGCAACGUCGCGGUGAAUGCGUUCCCGGGCCUUGUACACACCGCCCGUCAAGUCAUGAAAGUGGGCAGCACCCGAAGCCGGUGGCCUAACCCCUUGUGGGAUGGAGCCGUCUAAGGUGAGGCUCGUGAUUGGGACUAAGUCGUAACAAGGUAGCCGUACCGGAAGGUGCGGCUG
rnacentral:rRNA from 1 species